AUGAUUAAAAUAAUUUUAAUCAUAUAGAUUAAAUAUUUUACUUUUCAUACAACUUUGUAUCACAUACAACAAACUUAGGAUUUCAAGAUCUAGAAUUUUACAGAAAAGUAAGUUCUUCAUUUCGUAUUCUUCUUCAUAGGAUUUAUUCACAUGACACUCUUACACGCUAUAAGAAUACCCCAUCAAAUGGAAAGAGAAGAUCUUUAAACCCUUCUUGCUCCUAU
rnacentral:lncRNA from 1 species